AGUUGCAUUUAGAAAUAACUGGCGCGUCAGCACGAAAUCAAAUUGCAAAAAUUCAUGAAAAACAUUUUGCCGAGUGGGUCAUAGCUGAAGUAGAAAGACAAAGAUUUGCAGGUUUGCCAGUGCCAGAAGAGAUAAGUAUUCACUCACAUGGACCGCACUAUACAGUUAAACAAUGCAGCGGAUACCGUGUAAAUGGAUGUUUAUUCCAACGGGUCGGGCUUGAGGGGGAGAGAGUUACCCAAAAUAGUGGGGUCAUGGCUGUAUUCUCUCAAGAAUGUUAUUCAAGCUCAACUGAUCAAAAUCCGGUACUUGGUGAUGUAGUUUAUUACGGACAAUUAGAAGAUAUUGUGGAGAUAUUCUAUGCGUACGGUACCAAAAAUGUACGUAGUUAUGUGAUGUUUAAGGUCCGUUGGUGUCGUGCAGACAGAACUAGGGAUGCAUAUGGUUUUCAUCUUGUAAAUUUAGAUAAGGAGAUAUAUCCCGACAUGAAGUUUAUGUUCGCAAAUCAGGCUACUCAGUGCUUUUACGUCAAAGAUCCUAAGGUGCAGAAUGUCUGGGUCAUAUUGUAUAAGGAGCCGAGGACUCUUGUUCAGCUUGCUCUUGAUGAAAAUCCGGACAGUUCCGAUGACCCUAAUGAGACGGAAGGAGAAAUUUUUAUUAAUUACUCAUACCCCCAAAAUGUCAAUUUUAAUAUGUAUACCUCGCAAAUUCGACUUGAUAUCUGUAAUGUAGGAGAUUGAAUACAAAGAUCCUUAUGCAAAUUCGACUUGAUAUCUUGUAUGCAUUUAUUAAAUAUUUCAAUUAUGUUAGAUUAACAAUUUAAGUUGCAGAUGAGCCAAAGAGUUAGGAGGCUAUCUUUUCCUCGGGAUCGAGAAGGUCCAUCAUCCGGAUCGUCCUCA